UGAGAUGUCGGAUUUGGCCUCUUUUGGCUAUCAUUCUUGGCAGCAAGUCUUUCUCUUGUGCGUGGACUAUCACCGGUUUUGCUGCCGGUUUUGGUGUUCUGCCAUGGGGUUGGUAAGUUCUCUUUUCUGGACUUGGUCGACGGGGGGGAUUGCUAGGCUGAUUUGGGUUGCUUUGGUUCGUCCUUUGCAAUUUUUCAUUUCAGUUUGUUAAUUCUGUUCCUCAAGGUAAAGCAAAGGAGUCGUUUCCUCCUAUUCUUUUCUAAUAUAAAUUGAAAUAAAUGGUGAAGUUGAUCAAGCAAUGGUUGCUUUUGACAGUGUUUGUGAUCACAGAGAUUCCAAAAUCAAUAUAAGAGGGCGAGAUGGGGGCGAAGCUCUCCAGCAAUGGAAAUUUUAUCCGUAGGAAUUCAAUCACCCAUGGCCAUGGAUCUUCUGCUGCAUUUUAGUUUUUCGUUUUUUUUUUUUCGAUUUCUUGAAACAGCCGCAUACUGUGUAUUCUUUGUUGGUGGGAAUUCCAAUUUUUUUUCUUGAAACAAUCGAUUCGUUGAACUACUUUUAA
rnacentral:lncRNA from 1 species